AGUUCGAUCAUGGCUCAGAUUGAACGCUGGCGGGAUGCUACAUGCAAGUCGAACGGCAGCGGCACGGACUUCGGUCUGGUGGCGAAAGUGGCGAACGGGUGAGUAAUGUAUCGGAACGUGCCUAGUAGCGGGGGAUAACUACGCGAAAGCGUAGCUAAUACCGCAUACGCCCUUCGGGGGAAAGCGGGGGACCUUCGGGCCUCUCGCACUGGUAGAGCGGCCGGUAUCCGGAUUAGCUAGUUGGUGGGGUAACGGCUCACCAGUGACGAUCCGUAGCUGGUUUGAGAGGAUGACCAGCCACACUGGGACUGAGACACGGCCCAGACUCCUGGGAGGCAGCAGUGGGGAAUUUUGGACAAUGGAAGCCUGAUCCGGCCAUCCCACGGCAUUGUUGCGAUGAGGCCUUCAGGUUGUAAAGCACUUUUGGCAGGAAAGAAGCAGCCUGGGAUAAUACCCCGUGCAACUGACAGUACCUGCAGAAUAAGCACCGGCUAACUACGUGCCAGCAGCCGCGGUAAUACGUAAGUGCAAGCGUUAAUCGGAAUUACUGGGUAAAGCGUGCGCAGGCGGUUCCCGGAAAGAAAGAUGUGAAAUCCCAGAGCUGCUUUUUAGACUGCAUUUUUUAACUACUGAGCUAAAUUGUCAGAGGGAGGUGGAAUCCCGCGUGUAGCGGUGAAAUGCGUAGAUAUGCGGAGGAACACCGAUGGCGAAGGCAGCGCUGGGAUAACACUGACGGCUUUCAUGCACGAAAGCGUGGGGAGCAAACGGGACUGAAUACCCUGGUAGUCCGCCUAAACGAUGUCAACUAGCUGUUGAGGGCCUUCAGGCCUUGGUAACAACCAUGCCCGCGUAAGUUGACCGCCUGGGAGAUACCGGUCGCAGAUUAAACUCAAAGGAAUUGACGGGGACCACUGGCGGUGGAUGAUGUGGUUAAUUCGAUGCAACGCGAAAAACCUUACCUACCCUUGACAUGUCUGGAAUCCCGAAGAGAUUUGGGAGUGCUCGCAAGAGGAGCCGGAACACAGGUGCUGCAUGGCUGUCGUCAGCUCGUGUAUGAGAUGUUGGGUUAAGUCAACGAGCGCAACCCUUGUCAUUAGUUGCUGCAAAGGGCACUCUAAUGAGACUGCCGGUGACAAACCGGAGGAAGGUGGGGAUGACGUCAAGUCCUCAUGGCCCUUAUGGGUAGGGCUUCACACGUCAUACAAUGGUCGGACAGAGGGUCGCCAACCGCCAGGAGGAGCCAAUCAGAAGCGAUCGUAGUCCGGAUCGCAGUCUACCAGCUCGACUGCGUGAAGUCGGAAUCGCUAGUAAUCGCGGAUCAGAUGUCAUGAUGAAUACGUUCCCGGGUCUGUACACACCGCCCGUCACACCAUGGGAGUGGGUUUUACCCACGAAGUAGUUAGCCUAACCUGUGGGAGGGCGAUUACCACGGUAGGAUUCAUGACUGGGGUAAAGUCGUAACCGGAGUAA
rnacentral:rRNA from 1 species